rnacentral:piRNA from 8 species
GUGGUUCAGUGGUAGAAUUCUCGCCU